CAGAAAACAUGCAUGCAAAAGUGUAAAUAAGAAACAAUGUCGACGUAUUAUGAAAUUGUGCAGCUAAGUGUACUGUGAGUGCACAGGGAUCUCGUCCGAGGCGGAGGCAGAAGUGGAGCUCGGGUUCUCGUCCGCAUGCACGUCGUCCAGCCCACAUGGCCGCAUCAUGUUCUACCGCACUUUCGCGUCUAAGGCCGGUGACAUGGAGUAGGGCAUGCACUCCUACUAGUGCACGCCUGUCUCAACAUUGUCCAAUCUGACGCAUGCAUAAAUCAUGGAUUCAGUUUGAUAACAGUUUACUUACUUCUCAACGUGUUCAGGUAAGAAUAAUAGGAUAUGAACUGUUGGCAUGGGAUACAACACGGUGAGAUUGAUUACUACGUGUGUGAGCUAGUCUACAUAAAUAAUCAAUCAAGGGGCUCGUUUC